UUGUGGCAGCCCUCCAAACUGCCCGCCGAGCACGAGGCUCGCCCUCACCCGGCCGGGCUUCUGAUCAAGGCCGAGUUGGGACAUGCACUUCGGGUAGGAGGUGGCAUCUGGGAGCCGCUGAUAAGGGACCUCCUGCAAGGUGUGCCUGGCAGAGCUGACCAGAGAGGUGACCCCCUGGCCAGAGAGGACUGGCGGGGUGGCCGGGAGGCGGAAACUUUUCCUGCUCCAAAGUGGAGAACAUUCGUUUCUAAUUUCCCAAUCCCACAAGGCAGGCCUCAGGCAAAGUUCCCCCUUGCUCCUCAGGCUUAGCCGGCUUGUGCAGCAACUAGCCUUCCAGAAACCUCAGCUGGAGUGCCAGGGGAAGGGCUGCACAAGUCAAGGACCACGGGGAGAUGAGGUCAGGGCCUCGGAGAUGGAGUAGCAGGUUCAUCCUGGGGAGCCUCAUCAAGGAUUCUAUCCAGUGACAUCUGGUCUGGCUCCUUCCUGGAGCGUGGAGAUGCCGGCCGCAGGUGGGCAGGCGGACCACCGUGGUGCCUUUCUGGAGUGCCAAGGAGUGCCCUGGGAGAAGACAAAUGACCACAUGGGAGGGGAGAAUGAAGCUCUGGCCUGCCCUCAAGGACACGGGUCAUUACCAUGCGGCCCUCCCAGCCCAGCCCAAAGCAUCUGCUUGCCCGGAAAUAUACACAACAGAAGGACAGAGAGUCGGGACACACAGGAGAGCACUAGGAAAGCAUCACCACGGAGGAAUCCCACCAUUCAGCCACAAGGCUACCUGGCUUUCUCGUUCUUCCUCCUGAUACCCCAGGAGGGUCUGCAGCCAGGGUGCAAGGGCCAUUAGGGGCAUUGCCCCAAGGCCAGGCUUUUCUUGCUUUUAUCUGUGUCUUGUAGGCUGCCUGAGAGUGGGGGAGAUGCUGGUACCUGACCAGGGCCAGCGGCAGCAGGUGCUUCCUUCCUGAGCCCACAGCUCUGCCUCAAAAACCAGCUUCUCUACUUCUUUGAAUCGCUCAGAUUUAGCCAGGCAGCAUUCAGCUGCACCUAACAACAGUUACCCACCCCGGAUGUCAUGGCAGACUGUGUCCAAGGCCGGAGAAACACCGCGUCAGUGUGGUUUCCUCCCAGUCUGUCUGUUUCGCCCGGUGAAAGCGGAGAUGGGGCUGCCUUCAUUGACUUGCUGGCUCACAGUGUGACUGAUCACUGGCCCCUGGUGUGGUGGCUGCUUCACUUUCUAAGGACUGAGAAGCAAGCAUCUGUCACGUACAAGGCACCGUGCUCCACAGCAUGUUCUAGACCAGCAGUGGGGACCCUCUAAUCUGGAGACCACAGGUGGCCCUGUAGGCCCUCAAGUGUGGCCCUUUGACUGAAUCCAAGCUUCCCAGAACAAAUCCUCUUAACUCAGUCAAAAGGCCUCAAUGAGGCGGCAGGAUCCACACUGGUCUAGACAAAGGGAUCCCAAAGGAAUAAGAUUGGCCUUGCCCUUGGGAAGUGCACAGGCUAACCAGAGAAGGGACCCAAAAAAACAGAACCCAAUGAAGGGUGAGACCAAGCUCUGGGCCUGGCGGAGUAUGGGCUCUCAGAAUCGUGAAUGGGAUGAAGAAGAAAUGCUUGCUGGUUGAUAAAAGAGCCUUUGGGGGAGCGGGGUGGACAGAGAUCCUGUGGAGUGGCCUCUGAGGCCGGCCCUCCAGGCUAGCCAGGGUUUAGAUCCAUGGGCCUCAGGGGGCUGCGGAGAAGGGAGAGAGCAUUCUACAGGUACAAGCCUGGACACAGCAUCUCUCCGGUCCUCCUUCUCCCCUUCCUCUCUGCUCACACAGAUCCUCGGCACCUCUCACCCAGAACAGGCAAGAGCCUGUGGCUUGGUCUCCUUGUCUAGGCUCUCACUGCCCAAUACUGUUCUGAAGGUGCAGGUCUAAGUGCAGACUCUUCCUCCUCUGCAAAUGGGACAACAGGCAAGCUAUGUUAGAAGCGGGCUUUAAGAAUUCUAGGAGGUAGUGAGUUCUCUGGUCGCUGGAGGUAUGCCAGUGGAGAUUAGACAGAGGUGUCGUCAAAGAUGCCAUAAAGGGGAUCUACUCCUCUGGGUGUAUGGUGGGAGGUGAGGAGAAGGGCUGCACUAAGUCACCCCGGGGUCUCAUCCAGCAGUGAUGCCCUGAGAUACAGUAACUGCACAAAAGCGUCCUGGAUGGACCAAGACAGAAGCAGCUACCCGGAGACCGAGAUGUGGAGAUGGAGAUACUCCAAGGUCAUAGUCCAUGGGCUACCUAGGCCCACCCUCUCCUUUUAUGGCAAAGGAAACUGAGGCCUGGAUGGGGAAGGGACUUGUCCAAGGUCACACAGAUAGACAUCAGUAAGGCCAGAUUUGAACCCAGCCCUUUCCACCCAGGGUGCUUUCACUGCAGCAGGCUGUCUUCUCAGACAUGAAUUAAUGAGGUCAUUUCAACAGCAAUAGGUGAGUUAGUGAUACUGAUUCUUGCUAGAGUUGUCAGGACUGUAAUGAACCAGCAGAGCUGGGGGAUGAAUGGCACAUUAGCAGGUACAAACCUUUGUGAGGCUUCAUUAAUAAUUAAUUAAAUUCAUUUUAAAAUUAAUUUAA